AGUUCCUUUGUUUGUUCAGGUGCUUUCAGCAAUCUUCCUUCUUGGGCAGGGAGACAACGGAGAAGAGUCUUGAUUGACUCACUUCCCAGCCUUAAACAGGAUUUACAUAAGGUGGGAAUCCUUUGUUUCCAGUGGAAAAAUAUCAGCAGUGUCCAAGGUGGUACUCUGUACCAGGUGACAUCAUCACAUGAUCUUGCAGUGUUAAAGCAACCAUGAGACAAGGUUUAUUUGUAACAUCCACAGGAAAGGACUCCAGGAAGAUGAGAGAUCAGCAUCUUCAAAGACCCAUUGUCUUUCCUAAUGGCUUAUCCAGGCUGAUUGCAUACUGUCUGAGAGGAGGUGGGACCACAGACUUGCUCCCCUCCACACAUGUCUAUGGAGUGGAACUAGUACAGCAGCGGGAAUAAAUUGAACCCAAUGAAGAGGUAUAACUACAGGUGUGCUGAAGAAUUCCUCCCGAAGCUCCCAUAGGCUUCAUAUGGAAUAAAAGCUACAGCACUCCCAAAGUUGGAUACAGAGAUCAGCCCUAAACAAACGUCUGAAGCCAUUGCUAUAGUUGUGAUGGCAGCCAGGUACUUUAUUUAGCAAUCAAGAUGUUAUUGUCAAUAACCAAACAGACCAUGAUGAUAAUACUGCAAUGCCAAAGCUGCCAUCGGAAGCAGAGUCGCCUGAAAUGUCGUAGUGUUCUCUGAAGCUCGCCCUACUCUCGCUGUGAUUCCUGCUGUGGACGAAUGACGGAAGGAAGUACUGGGACAUUCACCAGUGUUUGAGAAACAAAUGUAUUGUUUGUUUCAAACACGAUAAAUGAACAAAAGAUCACAACAGAUUUAUGCUUACUUACAUCAGUCUGAACCAUCUGUGGGCGCUGAUUACGGAUUCUUGUAACAAACUCAAAAACAUCAACUCUCUGUUCAGCAUGCAUCAUAUCUAGUAUGGCAUCUAUCACUAUAAAUGUGCCUGUUCGACCCACGCCAGCGCUUAAAAAGAAGAGAGACACAUAAGUGAGCUAUGAAGUCCAGAUAGAUUGCUGCAGUAACCCACAGCUGGUCCAAAUUUUGUUUACAUUGGACUGAAAUCCACACUGGGUGUUACAUUUUGUAACAAUUCACUUUUGAUUUUAAUAGUGAUAUUAGUAGAACAGGUUAAAAAAUUUUGAAUUUCAAAUUUUUUUUUGACAAAAAAAGUGUGUUUUUUUUUCAGAAAGCUUUCACAAAAACAUAUUCUUUUUUUGAGGAGCAUCAGAGCUGGUUGAAAAAAUUAUGAUUUUUGAAUUUCUUUUAAAAGGAAAAAAGGUACAAUUUUUUUCCAAAAGGUUUCUCAUCUUUCAACCAGAUCUAGAUAUUAGAUCUAAGGUAAAGGAUAACACAUGCUAAAUCUGAUUAUUAAAUCUUUUUGGUUUACUAAUACUGAAGUAACAUGUUUUAUGUCAUACAUCAGUUGGCAAAUGUUAAACCUUUUUUAAGUGCUAAGGUUUUUAACAUGUCCAUGCAAAAUUAUUAUUGUUUUUAACAUGUCCUCCAGUUGCCACCAGAGGGAGCAAGAUUAUUACAAAUGAUACAAUCAUAGAUGAUUUUCAGCUCUUCCUUUCAGAGGAAAAGGGCAUGGCAUCCUGUGUUAAGCAUUAACAACUUUCUCUAACCUUCUGUUUGCUUAUUUUACCCUGUGGCUAUUAAAAUGUCACAGUAUCACCUUCUAAAAAUGUAAAUGUAUUUUUCUCCCAACAUACUCACCGAUUCAAUCUGACUUUCAUCAAAGAAAAAAUUAGUUUUAAAAUAAAGUCAGAAAUAUAGACUCCAUGAAAUGAAUGUUUUGUUCACUGAUGCGGAAUUAUGAGGAAUAUAAAAUAUUUUUUGAGAAUUUAUGAACCAUCCAUGGCUCUCUUGAGAACUAGAAAAUAUUUUUUGCUAUUAAUUAUAGUAUUUUCCACAGAAGUAAUGUCAGAAUAUUGCAAACACUCGAAGUUUUCUCAAAGACAUACAGAACAGAGAGAACAUCAUUAUUACCAUGUGUAUGGUGUGUGCGCCAUAUAUAUGUGUAUAUGUAUAUUUUUUUUCUGUUGUCUGGUUCCUGAGUAUUACAGUAUAUGGUAAGGGGUUGGAGUUUCUUUGAUUUAUUGUAUUUUGAAGUAUGCCACAUACAGUGUUCAAAUAAGUAUCCCUUAUUAUUUUAAAAUCUGUUAUAUAAUUUUAUUAUAUAAAAUAUAUGUGUGAUUAUAUAUUCUUUACACACACCCUUGCGCGUGCACACACAGUGUCCUUUUUCGUUUGAAUAGAAAUUCAUGCUGCCUGAAAAUCUUAAUCCCUUAGUACGGUACGAUAUAAAAGUAGAAUGAUUCACUUAGUACUAAUCACAAGUUCCACUUGUGGGAAUGCUGAAAUGACAAACUAAAACCAGCUGAGCUCCUCAUUGAUAAUGACAUGUUACAAAACACAUUAGCCUUAUAAUAGAGAGACCAGUGCCCAUAACCAACUUAUGUCUGAAAGAUUCCUCCACAAACAACAUUUAAUUUUCUAAUUGGCGAGGCCCUCUUCUUACUUGCCUUUUCAUCAAUUACCCUAGCUGCAUCACACUGAUCCUCUCUCCCUCAUUGGUCCUUGCUCUUUCCUGCUCCUACUCCUCUCCCACCCAUCUCCUAUCACCUUUACAAGGAUGAAAGUAAGGUGGUACAGGCUGGUACGGCGUACCUGUAAAAAGUGGCCGUCGGUACCGGCCACAUCUCACUCUCUCCUACUUCCUUGACUCAGAAUUUACCAGACAUUUUCUUGUUCUGACCUGCCUCAGAAUUCCCCCUCUCUGAACAUGGCUUGUUCAUUUUCAGUUCUCACAGUUUACCUUUCCUCCAUCCUGUCCAUCAAUCUCUGCUCUCUGAUUCUCUUGCUCCUUGAUCUCUCUCUCCUCCACAGACUCCGUGAGCUCUAUUUUCAGUUCUACCUUCUUGUGGCAGCGCUUUAACGUUGUUGCCCCUUUUGCCCCCCCCCAGGCAGCCGAUGGGGGUGGGGGGGGGGCAAAAGGAGCAGCUGCCCCAGGGCCGGCGACUUAAAAGGGCCCGAGGCUCCAGCCGCCACCGCUGCUACUGUGGCAGCGACCAGAGCCCUGAGCCCUUUAAAUGGCUGCUGGAGCCCUGGGCAGCGUGGGCCAGGCAGUGCAGAUGGGCUAGCUGGGGGAUGCUGACCCCCCCCAGCCCCUCCCCUUCCACCGAGGCCCCGCCCCUUGGGGGGGAAGAGCCAGCCCCCGUACCGGUAAGAGUUCAAUUUUACUUUCGCUCCUCCACCUUUACCACCAAGUGGUUAUCUACUGACAGAGUGGCUUCCACAUUUAUAACUACGUUUACCUCCCCUACCUCUGACUUCCUUCUGUUAAUAUUUCAGCUCCACCUUUGGGCUCCCUCCACAUCUCACUCUCUCCUACUUCCUUGACUCAGAAUUUACCAGACAUUUUCUUGUUCUGACCUGUCUCAGAAUUCCCCCUCUCUGAACCUGGCUUGUUCAUUUUCAGUUCUCACAGUUUGCCUUUCCUCCAUCCUGUCCAUCAAUCUCUGCUCUCUGAUUCUCUUGCUCCUUGAUCUCUCUCUCCUCCACAGACUCCGUGAGCUCUAUUUUCAGUUCUACCUUCUUUCUCUAAUAUUAUU